rnacentral:rRNA from 1 species
GAUGAACGCUGGCGGCGUGCCUAAUACAUGCAAGUCGAGCGAACAGACGAGGAGCUUGCUCCUCUGACGUUAGCGGCGGACGGGUGAGUAACACGUGGAUAACCUACCUAUAAGACUGGGAUAACUUCGGGAAACCGGAGCUACUACCGGAUAAUAUAUUGAACAGCAUGGUUAAAUAGUGAAAGACGGUUUUGCUGUCACUUAUAGAUAGAUCCGAGCCGCAUUAGCUAGUUGGUAAGGUAACGGCUUACCAAGGCGACGAUGCGUAGCCGACCUGAGAGGGUGAUCGGCCACACUGGAACUGAGACACGGUCCAGACUCCUACGGGAGGCAGCAGUAGGGAAUCUUCCGCAAUGGGCGAAAGCCUGACGGAGCAACGCCGCGUGAGUGAUGAAGGUCUUCGGAUCGUAAAACUCUGUUAUUAGGGAAGAACAAAUGUGUAAGUAACUAUGCACGUCUUGACGGUACCUAAUCAGAAAGCCACGGCUAACUACGUG